ACAUACAUACUAACAUAAGUAUUACAAUAAUUUUAAUGGAUACAAUAAGUAGUUGAAGACAAUUUUUAUAAAUAUUUAAUAAUUACUGUCAAUACAAAGGAGAAUUCUUCUUUCAGCUUAUUACUUCAGCUGUAUCAUAUUUUACUCUUCUGCAUGUUAUGUGUUCAUGAUUACGAAGUAAUGAUGAAAUAGUGAAAAAGCUUUAUUAAGAGCAACGCUUAUUUGCGUAAAAAUCUUUGCUCUUACAAAGAUAAAUAAUGAAAGCUUAGUAAAAAUGUAGUCACCUAUGUAAUACGAUGUACAUCAUAAAUAAGUGCAUAUUGACAUAUUGACAUCAUCGUACAUAUUGACUAUUUUGGGCAUUAUUUCAUUAAAUUUGAUAAUAUAGAUUUUAUAUUAAUUUAUAUAUCAAUUUGUUUUUGGGGGAGGGGGAGAAAUAUUGUUUGGUAAUUAAUAUAUUAUAUUUUAUAAGGUAUUUAUUAUUAAAUGGAUUGUAAUAUAGAUUCGUACCGUUUUUUUUUUUAGUGUUUUCAAUAACGUAUGUAUGUUGUUGUCCGUAUUAUUAACAAUUCUAAAUUUUAGUUUAGAAUCAUUUGUUCUCUCCCUAUUAGUUACUUUUAUAAUAAUUUUAAGAUUGCUCAAUUACCUCUGUACUCUGUAUGGUUAUCUCUCCUAAUAUGUGAAUUAAGGUAAUCAAGGUCCUUGCGUUUCUAGAAAUAUUUUGUGAAGAUUAUAGUAUAUAUAUUAUUUUGUUCUAAAACACAAUAUGAGAGAAAAUACAAAAAUAAUACUAACUUUUUUUAAAGAUUUUUUUAAUGGAAAACGGUGUACAUUUUCGUCAAUUAAAGAAACUUUAACCAUUUCGGAUUUAGCAUACAUUAUGUUAAAAUAUUCACGUAGAUAUUAUGUAUUAUUUAAUGUUCAAGCAUAUUUUUAAUAUAUAACAUAUCAGUAGAAAGAUACAUGCUACAACCGGAUCUUUUUUUCAAAAAAAGUUACGGAUUUAAUUUUUUAAUUUGUCAUUUCUAUUCAAUUAUUGUUUUAUUCUAGUACAGGCAUCAGCUGUUGAAAUAUAUUAUACUUUUCUUUGAUAUAAUUAAUUGAUAUGAUUACAGGCUGACAAUUAGUUUGUAAUUUAUUUCAAGAUCCAAUUAGAUGUAAUGUUUUUAAAAGAUCCCUUGCACAUCGAAUCCAAGUUAUUAAUAUAAUAAUAAAUAAACAUCAACAAGCCUAUAAAUUAUUAGACUUAUGAUGUAAUUAACAUGAAAAUUAAAAAAAAAGCGAAGAUAUAUUAAAAUGCAUUAUGUUUAUCAUGCAUUUAUAUUAAGUUACAAAAUAUUUCAAACUACUUCUUUGGUGUUCUGUUGUAAUUAACUCGACAUGUAUGUAUAUCUCAAUACACCGUUAAUAUGUAUUAUAAAAGUAAAUACGUAUUAUAAACCUCUGCCUCUCACCUCAACAAGAAGCAGAUGAAUGGAAGAUAAAUAAUGACAAGAGAAAUGUCUAAGACAUGCACGUGCACAUGCCGCAUUGUUUCACAUCGAAGUGUACACUUCUGUGGCUCAAGAUCGACUGACGCGUCGAAGGGUAUAGCUGUCUACUGCGCUUGCGCUCAUAUAAGCUAAAGGGUGAAAUAUAUCUACAUAUUUUCUGAAUUCCAGCAAUUUACUUAUUCCGCUAAAUGUUUUUCUUAUAACGCACAUCGAUACUUUCACAUUAUUUUAUGUAUUAGUAGUAGCAUCUAUUUUCCAUCGUAUAAUAAAGAAAAAUUGUGGCAAAUUAGUAAGCAUUUUCUCUUAGCCCGUGGCAACAACAACGCGUAGAUGGUAGAACUUUCAAUAAAAUAAGACAUUUAGCAUAUUUGUCGGAAAUCAGUCGGUUUCUUUCAUUGACAAAGUUGCUCCCCCAGCUGCAAAUGGUAUUUGUCGGCGAACGUUGUUUUAUAUUUCAUCGAAUUCUGCUCGUGGCUAUGGGAUUAUGGCCGUAUCAGAAACCAUUCAUCUGGCGAAUACAAGCCGUUUUCUUCUUUAGUACAUACUGCUGCACCUUAUUUUUUCAGUUAUUGACGUUUGUAACAACGGCGUGUAACACGGAUUGUACUCUAAAACGAUUUUCUUAUUUUUCUAUUUAUUUUAUACAUAUCCUGAGUUACUGUUGUUUCUAUUUCAACUCUGAAAUUAUAAAGAAAACUUUGGAACAUAUGCAGUUUGACUGGAAAUUAUUUAAGAACAGUGAGGCAAUAAAUGUAUUUGAGGAAUAUCUCUUCGAAGCUUAUAUUGUCUUAUUUUCAGCGUUUAUUUUCGUUCUUCUGACUGCAAUCUCAUUUGUAACUCUUGAAUGUAGAUCUAUGAUUCUUGAUGUUAUCAUACCAGUUAAUGAAUCCCGACCACGUAAAAUUGAAAUGGAUUUUGAACUUUUCGUCGAUCAAGAGCAGUAUUUUGUUUUGUAUUUAGUGCAGGAAAUAGUAGGAAUGGGAAUCGGUGCUUGGUCGCUGCUUACUACUGGAACGUUCCUAACUACAGUGAUGAAACACUUUUGUGCAACAUAUAAAAUUGCUAGUUAUUUAAUACGAAAUGCGGUGACCGUCCGUACGUUACACCUUCCUAUUGCUCAAAGAAUACAAUUUAUGUUUCGGUGCAUUUGUCUUUCAGUUCAGAUUCAUAGAAGAACCUUGAUGCUCUGCAAUAGCAUGAUAAUUUCCUUUAAUUUGUGGCUUUCUCCGAUAUGUGGACUUUGUGUUCUGGUUUUAAGUUGCGUUUUGUUUCGCAUAUACAAUGCUAUAAUGCAGUUCAGUGACUUCUAUGAUAUUCUUCUGUGCUAUAUGAUUUUGUUUUGUUGUAUCAUGUAUAUGCUCUUAGCAAGUUUUCUUGCAGAAUCUUAUACCGAACACAGUAUAGGACUAUUAGAAUCUACAUAUAAUACUUUUUGGUAUGUAGCGCCGUUACCGAUACAAAAAUUGUUCUUAAUUAUGCAAAAGUCUAUAAGAAGUCAUAAAAUAGUGGUGGGUGGUAUUUGUGUUGCGUCCAUAGAAGGAUUUAUGACGUUUAUGACUACGGCUGUAUCAUAUUUUACUGUUCUGCACGCCAUAAUGUCAUGAUUAUGAAGUGACGACAAAAUAGCGAAGAAGAUUGGUGAGAGCAACGCUUGUUUACAUAAAAAUAAUUGUUCUUACAAAAAUAAGUAAUGCAAGAUUAAUAAGAAUAUAGCUAUCUAUGUUAUAUGAUGUACAACAUAAAUAUGUGCAAUUCGUACAUAUCGACUAUAUAUUGGCUAUUUUGGACAAGAUAUUAUUUCAUUAAAUUUGGUUAAUUAGAUUUUAUAUUAAGUUAUAUCUGUUUGUUGCUUUUGGGGAACGGAAUAUUAUUUGGUAAUUAAUAUAUUAUAUUUUAUAAAGUAUUUAUUAUUAAAUAAGUUGUAACAUAUAUUCGUAUCGUUUUUUGUGUAUGUUUUCAAUAACGAUGUAUGUGGCUGUCUGUAUUAUUGCGAAUUCUACAUUUUAGUCUAGAAUCAUGUGUUCUCUCUCUAUUGUUUACUUUUACAUUUACUUUGUACUCUAUGGUCAUUUCUCCUAAUAUGUGAGUUAAGUUGGUCAAAGUCCUUCCGUUUCUAAAAAAAUUUUGUGGAGAUUAUAUAUAUAUAUAUGUUUUGUUCUAAAAAAUGAUAUAUGAAAAAAUAUUAAAAUAAUACUAACUUUUUUAAAGAUUUUUUUAUUGGAAAACGUGUACAUUUUCGUCAAUUAAAAAAACGUUAGCCAUCCCGGAUUUAUAUUACGUUAAACUAUUCACAAAGAUAUUAUACAUCGUAGAUAUUAUUUAUUAUUUUAUGGUGAAGCGUAUUUUUCAAUAUACGAUAUGUCUGUGCAAUGAUACAUGCUACAACCGGAUCUUUUUUUCGCCCAAACCUAAGUUACGGAUUUAAUUUGUUAAUUUGUCAAUUAUUAUUUCAUUCCAGUAUAGGCAUUUGCUAUUGAAAUAUAUUUUUCUUUGACAUAAUUAAUACAUUACAGGCUGAAAAUUAGUAGUUUGCAAUUUAUUGUAAGAUCCUAUUAGAUGUAAUGUUCUUAAACAAUAUUUGCGCAUGGAAUCUAAGUUAUUGAUAAAAUGAUAAAUAAACGUCAUCAAGCCUAUAAAUUAUUAGACUUAUGAUGUAAUUAACAUUAAAAUUAAAAAAAAAUAAGCAAAGAUAUGUUAAAAUGCAUUAUGUUUAUCAUGCAUGCACUUAUAUUAAGUUACGUUACAAUAUAUAUGAAACUACCUUUUUGGUGUUAUGUUGUACUUAAUUCGACAUGUAUGUAUAUCUCAAUACACCGUUAAUAUGUAUUAUAAAAGUAAAUAUGUAUUAUAAAACUCAACCACUCAUUUAAACAAGAAGCAGAUGAAUGAAAGAUAAAUAAUGACAAGAAAAAUAUCAAAGAUAUGCACGUGCACAUGUCGCAUUGUUUCACAUUCGAAGUGUACACUUCGAUGGCUCAAGAUCGACUGACGUAUCAAAGGAUACGAUUGCCCAUUACGCUUGCGCUUAGAUACAUUGAAGAAUAAAACAUCUCUUUUUCUUAUAUUGUCUCUCUUUUUUACGUCUAGCAAUUUAGUUAUUAGGUACGUGAAAUAUCUUAUUUAUAAGGUACAUCGAUACUUUCACAUUGUUUGGUACAUUUACAGCACGAUACAUAUAUUUUUCAUCCUAUACUAAAGAAAAAUUACUAAACUUUCAAUUUACAUCAUUUUCGUCUAAACAUCAGAUAUUAUAGAAGAUAUUAUUGUAGAAGAUAUAAUAAAACUUUGAUAAGAAAGAGGUGAUAUUGAAUCUCCUAGUUGGAAGCUCAAUCAUUCAGUUUUUCAUUGACAAAGCUGCUUCCUCCGUCACUCUAAACAUGGUAGUUGCAGGCGCACGUUGUUUAAAGCUUCAUCGAAUUCUGCUUAUGACUGAGGGAAUAUGGCCAUAUCAGAAACCAUUUAUUUGGCAAAUACAAACAGUUUUCUUUUUCGGUGCAUACUGCUGCAUGUUAUUUUCUCAGUUUACGCCGUUCUUAACAACGACUUGUAACAUGGAUUGUAUCCUAAAAAGACUUUCGUAUAUUUGUAUGACUUUCGUUUUUAUGUUGAAUUACUACUCAUUCUACUUCAAUUCUGAAACUGUGAGUAUUUGAGAUUCAUUUUUUGUGCAUUUUAUGAAAUUUUCAAACAUUCUGCUUCUCGAAUACUACAGAUUGUGGCAAUUAAAAACAGGUAAAACGAAUGGUUGAACAUAUACAGUUUGACUGGAAAACGUUUAAAAAUUGUGACGCAAUGAAAAUAUUUGAAGAAUAUCUCUCAGAAUCUUAUAUUUUUACAUUACCUCUGUGCAGUAAGCGGAUCAGACAUGGAAUUACAAGAUUUUAUCAUUUUAAUUCAACUGCUACUUAAUUUAUGUGUUUUUCUAGUUUUGUUUUUAAUAGGAGCAUCAUUCAUUACGAUUAUGGAAAGUAAACCUAUCAUCCUUGAUGUUAUUGCACCAAUGAAUGAAUCUCGACCACGAAAACUUGAAGUAGAUAUUGAAUUGUUCGUCUUCAAUGAAGAACAAUAUUUUUUCUUUUUAUUAGUGCUGGAGGGAGUAGGAGCAGGAAUCGGUCUUUGGUCGCUCCUUACGAUUCUAACGUUCAUAACAACAGUAACGAAACAUUCAUGUGCAACAUAAAAUUGUUAGGUUAACAGGCGCACCAUUUUUCUUAAUAAUAGCGUUUAUCAACUUUUAAUAUUAUCUAAAUUGUUUGCAGUUCUUUAAUCCAAAAUACAGUAACUGUCCAUACGCUACAACUUCCUGUUGCUCAAAGAAUACAAUACAUGCACCGGAAUAUUUGUCUUUCAAUUUACAUUCAUAGAAGAACAUUGGAGUUAGUUUCCAAAAAAUGUUAAUAUGUUUUCUAUUGAUUGUGUGUAUUAAUCGUUAAUAUUCACUCUAGCGUGAAUAAUUAUAGCCAAUAGUUUACAGCUUUGACAGUAAUGAGAUAUAAAUUUACUAAAUAGACAUUUUUUGGGGUUAA
rnacentral:misc_RNA from 1 species